GACGGAGGGUGCAAGCGUUGCUCGGAAUCAUUGGGCGUAAAGGGUGCGUAGGCGGCUUUUUAAGUCUGACGUGAAAGCCCAAGGCUUAGCCUUGGAAGUGCGCCAGAAACUGAAAGGCUAGAGUGCCGGAGGGGAGAGUGGAAUUCCUGGUGUAGCGGUGAAAUGCGCAGAUAUCAGGAGGAACACCGAUGGCGAAGGCAGGUCUCUGGGCAUUAACUGACGCUGAGGAGCGAAAGCAUGGGGAGCGAACAGG
rnacentral:rRNA from 1 species